CACGUAGGGGACGAGCGUUGUCCGGAUUCAUUGGGCGUAAAGCGCGCGUAGGCGGCUCGGAAAGUCGGGCGUGAAAUGCCGGGGCUCAACCCCGGGUCUGCAUUCGAUACGGGCUGGCUAGAGUGUGGUAGGGGAGAUCGGAAUUCCUGGUGUAGCGGUGAAAAUGCGCAGAUAUCGGGAGGAACACCUAUGGCGAAGGCAGCUCGCUGGGACGUUACUGACGCUGAGACGCGAAAGCGUGGGGAGCAAACAGG
rnacentral:rRNA from 1 species